CUACGGGGGGCAGCAGUGGGGAAUUUUGGACAAUGGGCGCAAGCCUGAUCCAGCAAUGCCGCGUGCAGGAUGAAGGCCUUCGGGUUGUAAACUGCUUUUGUACGGAACGAAACGGUCCCCUCUAAUACAGGGGGCUAAUGACGGUACCGUAAGAAUAAGCACCGGCUAACUACGUGCCAGCAGCCGCGGUAAUAUGUAGGGUGCGAGCGUUAAUCGGAAUUACUGGGCGUAAAGCGUGCGCAGGCGGUUAUAUAAGACAGAUGUGAAAUCCCCGGGCUCAACCUGGGACCUGCAUUUGUGACUGUAUAGCUAGAGUACGGUAGAGGGGGAUGGAAUUCCGCGUGUAGCAGUGAAAUGCGUAGAUAUGCGGAGGAACACCGAUGGCGAAGGCAAUCCCCUGGACCUGUACUGACGCUCAUGCACGAAAGCGUGGGGAGCAAACAGGAUUAGAUACCCCAGUAGUC
rnacentral:rRNA from 1 species